CUCUGUAAAUAUAAAAAAUUUGGUUUUGGUCCUUGGUAUUUUAUUUUAGUCCUUGUAAAAUUGAUUCAUAUUGGAUUUUGUCCUUGUAAUAUGUAGAAUAUUUGAUUUUAGUCCCUCAAAACGAGGACUAAAAUGAAUAUUAUAGGGACCAUUUUCAAUAUGAAAUGAUUUUACAAGGAUUAAAACAAAAUACCAAGGACCAAAACCAAAUAUUUUAUAUUUGCAGAGA
rnacentral:pre_miRNA from 1 species